UACGGAGGCAGCAGUGGGGAAUAUUGCACAAUGGGCGAAAGCCUGAUGCAGCUAUGCCGCGUGUAUGAAGAAGGCCUUAGGGUUGUAAAGUACUUUCAUCGGGGAGGAAAAACAAAACUAAUAAUUUUAUUUCUUGACGUUACCCGAAAAAGAAGCACCGGCUAACUCCGUGCCAGCAGCCGCGGUAAUACGGAGGGUGCUAGCGUUAAUCAGAAUUACUGGGCGUAAAGAGCACGUAGGUGGUUUUUUUAAGUCAGAUGUGAAAUCCCUGGGCUUAACCUGGAACUGCAUUUUGAAACUGAAAUACUAGAGUAUCGUAGAGGGAGGUAGAAUUCUAGGUGUAGCGGUGAAAUGCGUAGAUAUCUGGAGGAAUACCUGUGGCGAAAGCGGCCUCCUAAACGAAUACUGACACUGAGGGUGCGAAAGCGUGGGGAGCAAACAGGGAUUAGAUACC
rnacentral:rRNA from 1 species